UACGUAGGUCGCAAGCGUUGUCCGGAUUUACUGGGCGUAAAGAGCGCGCAGGCGGCUGGUCAAGUCCGAUGUGAAAUCUCCCGGCUCAACUGGGAAACUGCAUCCGAUACUGGAUGGCUUGAAUCCGGGAGAGGGAUGCAGAAUUCCAGGUGUAGCGGUGAAAUGCGUAGAUAUCUGGAGGAAUACCGGUGGCGAAGGCGGCAUCCUGGACCGGCAUUGACGCUGAUGAGCGAAAGCUAGGGGAGCAAACGGG
rnacentral:rRNA from 1 species